CGGCGGACGGGUGAGUAACACGUGGGUAACCUACCUAUAAGACUGGGACAACUUCGGGAAACCGGAGCUAAUACCGGAUAAGAUAUCGAACCGCAUGGUUCGAUAGUGAAAGAUGGUUUUUGCUAUCACUUAUAGAUGGACCCGCGCCGUAUUAGCUAGUUGGUGAGGUAACGGCUCACCAAGGCAACGAUACGUAGCCGACCUGAGAGGGUGAUCGGCCACACUGGAACUGAGACACGGUCCAGACUCCUACGGGAGGCAGCAGCC
rnacentral:rRNA from 1 species